GAUGAACGCUAGCUACAGGCUUAACACAUGCAAGUCGAGAGACCGGCGCACGGGUGAGUGACACGUAUCCAACAUGCCCUUUACUCGGGGAUAGGGUUUCGAAAGAAAGAUAAAUACCAGAUAUAAAGGGUUGGGAUGCGUGCCAUUAGGUUGUUGGUGAGGUCACGGCUCACCAAGCAUUCGAUGGAUAGGGGUGCUGAGAGGCAGGUCCACAUCAUUGGAACCAAGACCCGGUCGACACCCCUACGCGAGGCUGCGGUGUGGAAUAUUGGUGAAUGGGGGCUAGCCUGGAAAAGCCAAGUAGGGUAAAGGAUGUGUGCGUCUGGGUCCUCAUCUUUUAUUAUAUAACAAGCUGUAUUUAACCAGUAAGGCUCGGCUAACUCCGUGCCAGCCGCCGCGGUAAUAC
rnacentral:rRNA from 1 species